AAGAAGAGACAAAUAGGUAUUAUUGGGCUUCCGUUACGGGAGACGCAGGCAUCUCGUUAAAAAAAGAAGGAUGCCAGUUCAAUGAUGAAGCUGCGAACCUGCGACGAAGGCCGAGGUUUCGAAACAGCUUGCAUGUGAGGGACACAUGAGGGCAGCAUUCAACAACAUAAACACGCGACUCUUGAAAAUCUGGCGCUACCCGUAUUCUUCCGAGUGGCUGAAAACUUUCUUAUUACGUCAGUAUCAGUACUACAAGUUUGUUUUAAUUAAAGUGUGUUUGUGGUCCAACGUAAUAACACCAAAAUGGAUGAGAAGCAGGGACCAACUUCUGAUGAUGUCCCAACUGGGGAGUCAACAUCAACCACAGUUACGGAGGGUGAUGUUGGCAAGAUGCCAACAGAUGUGGCCAUCACUAUGGAUGCUAUUCCCAAUGAAGAUAAGGAGGACAAAUCCAAAGGUCUUGACCCACAAGAUAACCAUUCCACCAGCACCUCUGAU